AGCCUAGCUAGGGCUAGUUUUAGUCUAGUCCUAGCCCUAGAUAAAGGCAUGAGACAUAGUACUGUUUAAUUAAUAAUUGUUGAUAAUUAAUUAAUGAUUACUAUAUCAUCAGUCUAUAGCACUAAUCUCUAGGUCUAUAUUGUUUUUGAUUGUUUUUUAACAGGAUUAACUGAAUUUGAAGCAAGGCUCUGCGAGUAUCUGAUGUCAGGUAUUUUCUGUUUUGAACUCUAAAUUCAAACUGAACGUUAAAUUUACACUUCAACUUUCCAACAAGUUUCAAGGCUAUAGAAAUUGCAAUUUGUAUUUUUGAUAUCGACCACUCCAAUAAUGAAUUGUUCGCCAAAAAUAUGUGCACUUCAAGCCGUCGACCAGGAAAAGAAUAUUAAAAAAGGAAUGUCAGGUGCAGUUAUAUGGAGAAUUUCAAGUUGCAAAUGUUAACAGCUAUAGUUAAGAAGAUUGCUGACUGCGAAACUUAGAGUGCCAAAAUAGGCAAUAAAGAUGAAUGCACAGUGCAUAUAUAAAGCAAAUUUAUGAUCCUCAGUCUGGUUUCAAUUACAAAGUGAAAACUCAAUCAAAUGUGGUGGUGUAAAGAAGUAUUUUGUUUGUUUGAAGCCUUACUGUGUCUGGUGGCAGUUGAUUGCAGAAACAGAAAUUUUCCUGACGUUCAAAGGUGAAUAUAA